CCGCACAACAUGUUUUUUUUAUUUAAAUUAUUAAAUUAGUAAUUAGACGAAAUUAAUUCUAAUCAUCUCUCCGCAUUGUACAGAUUUAUUUAUUUUUUUUGUCUCUUGCAGUUUAUAUAUACUAAAUAUUUUUUAAUGCAGAUGGCAUAAUGCGUGUGUGUGGAAGAAUAUUUGCCAAUCACCAUAAAUAAAAUUCUUCACAAAAUACAAAAAUAAAAAAUGACAUCACGCACAGUAAAAUUGGAUUACAUUACCGUUGCAUCUAGAGUAUUGCCUCUUUGUCCUUUUUAUAAGAAGUUAGAUAAUACUGAAAUCAUCCACUUCUAAAAUUCACAGAGAAUAAAUAGCAUCGAUCCUUAUCUCAUUGUUUUGCUCCACGGAGUCCCUUGCAGUAAAUUGUAAACUUAAUACUUACCAGUCUAUCGAAUUCUAGGUUUAUUUCUGGUCACGAUCUUCGUUUGAAUAGAAGGAAUUUGUCCAUAAACAUUAAAAAAAAAAAAAAAUUAUUAUUAUUAUACAGAGAUAUGAAGCGAGAGCGGAGGAAACAGAUCGACUUGCUGAAGAAAAUAUUCUGAUAUAUUACAAUUCUACUUAAUUUCGGCAAGUUAAAGUGAACAUAAUUCGCAACUUAGAUUCUGAAUUAUUAUAACGUAUGAACAGAGAAGAUCAACAUUACAAAUGGACAAGUGAACAAUCAAAUUCAGAAGUUCACUAAUAAAUCAGACGAAAACGGUGAAUUAAAGCUAAAAACAAAAAGACAAAAAUCUGGAGUGAAUUCCUCUUAAUUACCGCCAGUGCAGCUCAGUAAUACUACUAUUAAAGAUUACCUGAAAUUUCACUUCCACAAGAGCAAAAUAUGCUGGAUUAAGCCUCUUCAGAAGUGCAUAGUUUGAAAAGCUUGCUGCAGAAUUGGCAGAAGGUGUAUUAUGCUUUUGGAUCAAAAUACAAAAUAAUAUUUAUGAACAAUGCUAAAUGUAAAUCUAACGCAACAUUAUAGUAGUAAAAGACAAUGCACGAGAUUCGUUGAUUAGAUAUGAGGACGGGUCAUU
rnacentral:lncRNA from 1 species